AAAAAAUAGAAAAAUUACAAAGUGCCCUGUCAUAAAUGAGUGAUUCUUAGCGCAGCCACUGAUCAACAAACUCACUUCCUAAUUAAGUGUAGGAGUGUAAUGAGGAACAGGGCAUCCUUUGUUUCGCCAGCCCGUGUGAACUCCAGCCACAAGUCCCCAGACUCCCCUAACUCCUGCCUUCAGAGCUUGUAAUUAGUACAUGAGGAACCAGGUACUGCAGCAGCAGCCCCUCGGACAGUGGCUCCAUUCAGCACCAGCCAGAUGUGAGGAGCGUUCAAAGGGCGCCGACUGACUCACACAUUGCGUGGUCCUGUGUGACACCAUAAUCUCUGGUUUCCAGCCCCACAGUCAACAGCCACUGUCAUUUUUAAUGCAUUCUAAUUAGCUGGUAAGCUUUACAGAGAGGUUCAGCCGGCAAGCAGAGCUACUGGUAGAGGACAGGUUGGUCAGUAUGCCUAAUAUUUCCUAAACUACCCCCGGCUUCGUUAGAUAUUAUAUAUUUAUGCCAGUAUGAUAAAAAUCGGACCAUGGCAUGCGCAAUAAUUUUAGGGCACUUUCAAAUUUGCUUGUUUUAAAAGUUAGCCCACAGAAUAAAAGGGAAAAUUGGAAAAAUAUACACAGAAAUCAUCAAGAGGAGCAAAAGUGACCCUCUGCCUGAGGUACCAGGAAGCCUCCAAAGCCUCAGAUGUCCCCCUCUGUUAUCCCUCUCUGAACAGUGAGCUACUGCUCCCUUAAGUUUCCAUCCCAGAAAAUCCAACCUCUGAGGCAGCAGACAACAUUCAGAGGUCAGGCCUCACUCUUACCUCCCUUGCAGAGCAUCUCAGCCCAAUGUUUUGGAUGAUCCCAGUAGACUCAGCCAGGCUGGCACCCACCAGCUGAAGAGCAUAUGCUUUUUAACCAGUCAGUAGAAGCAGGAAAAUGGAUUCCUCCUGUAUCUGACAGCUUUACUGCCCUCCAGAUGAAUGAGCCCCGGCUACCUCUGGAGUAAUGUGGUGAUGAAACCCUUCAUCUGGUCUGUGCCUCUCAGCCACUCAGAGAUAAAUUGCACUGCCCCUCACCCAGCUACCCCAGGUCAAAAUCAAUGUGAGGAAAAGUGAUGUGACAUGGGCAUUAUAGACUUUUUAACAAUACUGAUACAGAAGAAUUAUUAAUGACCCACCCAUUGACCUCGAAGGAGACUGGUGUUUGCUCGAUUUGAAUGUGCAAAAGGAGAUGGGCUGCAGGAGCUCAAAACACAUGUUUUCAGGAUCUGACCUGCCUUUUUUCUGGAAGUGUUUCCUCCUGUUGUAGUGGAAGGACAUCAGAAGCACACACCCUGACCAUCUAGAGCUGAGUGAUGUCAGGGGAGAGCUCUGUACAGGGAUCCACUGACCCAUCCCAGCUGCCACACAAGAAUCAUAAAAUCAUACUCAAAGGAGCCUAACACAUAAACAGGAAUUUCUACUUUUUAUCAAAAGACAGGUGUCCCAAGACCUGGCACAGUCAUGUAUUCAGUAUAUGACAUAAGAAUAAAAUGCCUAUAAAAUGAAA